UCGAUUCCGGAGAGGGAGCCUGAGAAACGGCUACCACAUCCAAGGAAGGCAGCAGGCGCGCAAUUACCCAAUCCUGACACAGGGAGGUAGUGACAAUAAAUAACAACUCGGACCUCACACGAGGUUACGAGAUGGGAAUGAGUACAAUCUAAAUCCCUUAACGAGGAUCAAUUGGAGGGCAAGUCUGGUGCCAGCAGCCGCGGUAAUUCCAGCUCCAAUAGCGUAUAUUUAAGUUGCUGCAGUUAAAAAGCUCGUAGUUGGAUUUCGGAUGGGUUCCGUCGGUCCGCCGUUCGGUGUGCACUGUCGUCACUCAUCUUGCUGCCGGGGACGGGCUCCUGGGCUUAACUGUCCGGGACCCGGAGUCGGCAAUGUUACUUUGAGUAAAAUAGAGUGUUCAAAGCAGGCCUACGCUCUGAAUACAUUAGCAUGGAAUAACACGAUAGGACUCUGGCCUAUCUUGUUGGUCUGUAGGACCGGAGUAAUGAUUAAGAGGGACAGUCGGGGGCAUUCGUAUUUCAUUGUCAGAGGUGAAAUUCUUGGAUUUAUGAAAGACGAACUUC
rnacentral:rRNA from 1 species